rnacentral:rRNA from 1 species
AGAGUUUGAUCCUGGCUCAGGAUGAACGCUGACAGAAUGCUUAACACAUGCAAGUCAACUUGAACUUCGGUUUGGGUGGCGGACGGGUGAGUAACGCGUAAAGAACUUGCCUCACAGAUAGGGACAACAUUUGGAAACGAAUGCUAAUACCUGAUAUUAUGAUUUUAGGGCAUCCUAGGAUUAUGAAAGCUAUAUGCGCUGUGAGAGAGCUUUGCGUCCCAUUAGCUAGUUGGAGAGGUAACGGCUCACCAAGGCGAUGAUGGGUAGCCGGCCUGAGAGGGUGAUCGGCCACAAGGGGACUGAGACACGGCCCUUACUCCUACGGGAGGCAGCAGUGGGGAAUAUUGGACAAUGGACCAAGAGUCUGAUCCAGCAAUUCUGUGUGCACGAUGAAGUUUUUCGGAAUGUAAAGUGCUUUCAGUUGGGAAGAAAAAAAUGACGGUACCAACAGAAGAAGUGACGGCUAAAUACGUGCCAGCAGCCGCGGUAAUACGUAUGUCACAAGCGUUAUCCGGAUUUAUUGGGCGUAAAGCGCGUCUAGGUGGUUAUGUAAGUCUGAUGUGAAAAUGCAGGGCUCAACUCUGUAUUGCGUUGGAAACUGUGUAACUAGAGUACUGGAGAGGUAAGCGGAACUACAAGUGUAGAGGUGAAAUUCGUAGAUAUUUGUAGGAAUGCCGAUGGGGAAGCCAGCUUACUGGACAGAUACUGACGCUGAAGCGCGAAAGCGUGGGUAGCAAACAGGAUUAGAUACCCUGGUAGUCCACGCCGUAAACGAUGAGUGCUAAGUGUUGGUCUCAUAAGAGAUCAGUGCUGCAGCUAACGCAUUAAGCACUCCGCCUGGGGAGUACGACCGCAAGGUUGAAACUCAAAGGAAUUGACGGGGGCCCG